AUUGAACGCUGGCGGCAGGCCUAGCACAUGCAAGUCGAACGGUAACAGGAAACAGCUUGCUGUUUCGCUGACGAGUGGCGGACGGGUGAGUAAUGUCUGGGAAACUGCCUGAUGGAGGGGGAUAACUACUGGAAACGGUAGCUAAUACCGCAUAACGUCGCAAGACCAAAGAGGGGGACCUUCGGGCCUCUUGCCAUCGGAUGUGCCCAGAUGGGAUUAGCUAGUAGGUGGGGUAACGGCUCACCUAGGCGACGAUCCCUAGCUGGUCUGAGAGGAUGACCAGCCACACUGGAACUGAGACACGGUCCAGACCCCUACGGGAGGCAGCAGUGGGGAAUAUUGCACAAUGGGCGCAAGCCUGAUGCAGCCAUGCCGCGUGUAUGAAGAAGGCCUUCGGGUUGUAAAGUACUUUCAGCGGGGAGGAAGGGAGUAAAGUUAAUACCUUUGCUCAUUGACGUUACCCGCAGAAGAAGCACCGGCUAACUCCGUGCCAGCAGCCGCCGUAA
rnacentral:rRNA from 1 species